rnacentral:rRNA from 1 species
UACGUAGGGCGCAAGCGUUGUCCGGAAUUAUUGGGCGUAAAGAGCUCGUAGGCGGUUUGUCGCGUCUGCUGUGAAAACUCGGGGCUUAACCCCGGGCCUGCAGUGGGUACGGGCAGACUAGAGUGCGGUAGGGGAGACUGGAAUUCCUGGUGUAGCGGUGAAAUGCGCAGAUAUCAGGAGGAACACCGGUGGCGAAGGCGGGACUCUGGGCCGAUACUGACGCUGAGGAGCGAAAGCGUGGGGAGCAAACAGG